AUGUCUGGUAAGACGAGGGUGUACCAGGGCGUCCGCGUGAAGACCACGGUCAAAGAGCUGCUGCAGAGGCUCCGAGCCCGGGAGGCCAACGGCAAAAAGCUCAAACCGAUUGGACAGAUAUCCCAGGGUUCCUUGGAUCUUCAGGAUCUCUGCCAGUCCAUAUCGCCAAACCUUCUCCUGCCGGCUCGCCAUGUGGACCCCCCUCCUCCCAUCACCCCGCCAGACGCGAGCAGCUGUGGCUCGCGCGCCCUCCCGCUGCGCGCCGCCCAGUUCCAGGUCCCCGACGGCUCGUGCAGCAUCCCGAUGCAGGGGGACGCGUUCAACGACCCCCAGCCGCCCGCCGGGGACAUGAGCUUGUCCGGCAACUGCUACGCUGGAAACAACAGCAGCAGCAGCAGCUGCAGCAACAACAACAACAACAACAACAACAGCAUCGGUGGCAACGGCUACAACCCCUCCCAGCCUCCCCUCCACGCCCUCCCGCUGCCCUGGUACUAUGGACUCUCCCCAGAUGAGGACUAUUAUGGGCACGCCAUGGCACCCGGCUCUCCGCCGGAGUCACGGAAGCUCUGCAGCCCCGCGGAUCACAGCAGCUACUCGCCACAGGACUCUUUCUCCUCCUCCUCCUCCUCCUGCUACGACUCGCCCACCAGGAUGGAGUCCAGCCACCACGGCUUCGCCUCAGAGCAUUGCCACUAUCAGCACUGCGACCUCCAGGACUGUUACUGUCUGCCCCGCUGUAGGCCGGGCCAGCAGGAGAGCUUCGCUGCCCCCGAAUACACACCGCACUACGCCCCCACAGACUAUCCGUACGCCUGCCAGGUGGAGGAGAACUAUUUCAUGAGGGACCUGCAGAUCCCCGAAAUGUGCUACAACAUACUAUGAUGGGACCGUCGGCAGUGUUGUUGUGUCGGUCACCUCCCCCCGCUGUAAAUAUGAUUCUCCUCAAGUGCUUUCAUUUCACUGUGCCAUUACUUGCUUGUGCUUUGGCGCAGUUCGAAUAUGACGAAUGCUGAAUGGAUGGAAAGGCGAAUAUUUUUGUAUCAAAUGCCGUUUUUUUAUUACUUAGAUUUAUUUUCAUACACAUAAGUUCUUACUGUACUGAAUAAAAAUGUUGAAAUCAACAACCCGCUUAUGUUAAUUUGUUACAUAUUCAUUCACACUUGGUAUAGGGUGAAAGCGCAGAGGAUGGCAGAAGUCUCUGGUGCUGUGUCAGUGUCGGCUAUUCCAGAUCAACACUGCGGUUUUCUUCCACGCUGCAAACUGUCGGGUCUCCCCUCGCGACACUUUGCACUUGAGCAAAGGAAUCCCGGGGGAUUUGACCUUCAGGGGGGAAAGGUUCACUGGGUCUUGUCGAUGACUGAGAGGUGAAGGGGAGCAGACUGACACGAUGAGGUGACGCUCGAAAACGUCAACAUUUCUCUUUUAUUUCUCUCAAAAGAGUCCCAAACAAGGACGACUGUAAACGUACAACACUCGAUAUUCACCGCUGCCGUCCUUCCUCUUAGCUCGUCCGAUGACCACGUGUCUCAGCUGCUUCAGCUACUUGACUUGCUCAGUGACCCGGACUGAGAUAAUGUGACUGCGGAGGUCUCUCAGGCGACAGUGAAGCUGAAUCUGCAAUGUGAAUAGUACAGCGGAGGUCAUGACCUUGGUAAUAUUUACCAAAAAUUCUCACCGGUUAAUGAUGAGCACAAGAGACACUAAUGAAACUGUUGAAUGCGAGUAUUUGGUGUAUGCUCAAUAUGAGCACAAUGUUCUUUCAAGCUUCUUCUUCUUUUAAUGGUUUAAUGUCCUGAAGUGCAUGGGGUCUCUCCUGGAAUGUUCUUAAACCAAUAUGGACCCUCAAUAACAAAGAUACAAAUGUACGGAUCCAAUUUUGGAUUGAUUCAUGUCGAAGCGUAGUCGUAUGUAUUGGUCAGCGAGCAUUCAUCCCAGCAUCCGGCCCCUUGCUGCUGUUCCACCCGAGCGGAUUCACAUGACUCCAUGGCCCCCUGCCCUGUGGUCCGUUUUUAAUGUCGUACAUUCACAUUGUCGUGCGCUCAACAAACAAAACAGGCGGGCAGCAGGUCACAAAUUGGACUGUGGCUUUGUGGGCAAAUGAGGAUCAUGUCCUUUUGGAGAGGAUUUACCUACAACUUCAACCUCUUUUGUAUGAACAAACAAACAGUAACAACCUCACAGGGUGAGCUCGAAAGAGAGAAACACUGACGUCCCAGAGAAAUGGAUCAGUUACUGCGGAAUCCAAGUGCUGUCAAAUGAGAGAAAUAUUCACAACAACAUAAAAGAAUUGACUAAAACAAUAGUGGCUGCGGAGUCACUGUUGACCAUGUAGUCGGCCGUGCCUGUGUGCCCAUUUGUAUAUGUCAUUUCCCUUUCCAUGUCGUCUUUAUUGAUUUGGAUUCGUCCAUUACAGGACAACAAGUGUCACUAGAACCUCACUCUGUGUCUGUUCCCCUCUUUUUCCUCACGUCGGUGUGUGUUGUGGAAAAGUCUAACACGAUAAGUCUAAAAGAGAAAAGAGGGACGUCCCCAAAUCAAUGUCAGACUGUAAGUAGUGUUUUGAUUGAAAACAUAAGAACAAAUAGGUGACACGUUUCUUUUUACUGUUGGGCCCUUUCAUUCGAAACAUCUUAAGAAUUCACACAAGGAAUUGAUGAACAUGAUGAAAUGUUCUCUGUAGACAAAGGAAAGCUCUGCUCCCAAUGUUUGAUUUGUUGUUACCAUGGCAGUGUUGUGAAAUACCAUGCGUGGCCAAAACAAAAACUGACCCUGCACAGUCUUCUUUCAGCUUUGUGGCUCCUGGCCGAGGAGCAGACUCACGGCUGGGGUCAGAGCAGGGAGGCACAGAACACACACACACACACACACACACACACACACACACACACACACACGCACACAGCCCGACUUGCACUAAAGGCCGCUGCUGCUGCUGCUGCUGCUGCUGCCGGGGGGACACUUACCUGGUAAAGGUUUGUGUCCCCCGGGGCCGAUGCCAUUCUUGUGUGAAAAGAGCACGUCAUAGUCCGGUCAUUCACCUGCAUGUCGUGACACAGGUUGUAAAUAGUAGAACGAAUGGAGGCAGUCAUUUCAAACGGAGAGUGAAAUGAACCACCACGUGUGUAUUGCAAUCCAUAUAGCCUUUUUCCCCCCACUGCCUCUCACUCGGUUUCGGUGAUUUCCAUGCAACGCUCAUCGUCCUGCUGCCGUUGGUUUCGUAAAGGCCAGUUCUGUCACAUGAAGUGGCAUCUUUCUGUGCACAAUUUGGAGCUUACGCAUUGUGUUACCUUAGCCGGACGUGGCCAGACUAAUACUCGAAUGCAUAUUAGUCGGAUGGGACCAGUCGGUUCAUUUUUCGAUUUUGCAAGAGACGUAGCCAACGGACGCGGGCCAAAAGGCCUCCGGACGCGACCGCACAGACCCGGCAAGCGGUGGGAGCAGCGAAUCACGUGACGUCUGUCGCGCGACGCGAAAGUGUCAACAGACUGGAGCAGAGAGGAGAUGUCUGUGAUGAUGGCGCCAACGUGUGUGAACCAGUUUGGAUGUUUUUUUUGUGGGAGAAAUGUGAAAAUGAAAAAGUACUUUUGCUCAAAUGCUUCUGCAUCGGUGGCCUCCGAUGUUUACAAGAGGCGCCUCUCUCCGCGUCACGGUACAAACCCCGCCCCUUAUCGGAUAAUCGGUUGUGAUUGGAUUGGAAAAGUUUCUACCCGGGGGAAAUAACUUUCCAAUGGAGGGGAUCCACAACCGAGUCUGGCAGAGCAAAUGAAAUGAGCUCUCAGAAAUCAUCUGGGUCCCAGGCUGGUGAUUCCUAAAUGAAGUGUGUAUCUUAACUGCGUGUAAAAACCUGGUUGUUACCACGGGCGAAAAACCUAAUGCCGUGUAACUGUAUGUGGCCCCCGUUAACCUCAUAAAGUGCUGACAACAGCGUCUUUCAGCAUUUUUUUUUCUCAGCCCGGAGCCUAAUGGAAAGAUGAAUGUCAGAGGCCCCUGCGAGGCACGCGGUGUGCUGCCGCAGACAGGGGCGAUGUUUAGGCCUCUCAGGCAUUAAAG
ensembl:lncRNA